rnacentral:rRNA from 1 species
GACGAACGCUGGCGGCGUGCUUAACACAUGCAAGUCGAACGAGGUCCAUGCAGUCGCAAGACUGCGGAAGAUCUAGUGGCGAACGGGUGCGUAACACGUGAGAAACCUGUCCCGGUCUCUGGAAUAACAAGUGGAAACACUUGCUAAUACCGGAUGCCGUCGGACCAUCGCAUGAUGGACUGACGAAAGGGCUACCGGAUCGGGUGGGUCUCGCGGCCUAUCAGCUUGUUGGUGAGGUAACGGCUCACCAAGGCAUCGACGGGUAGCUGGUCUGAGAGGAUGAUCAGCCACACUGGGACUGAGACACGGCCCAGACUCCUACGGGAGGCAGCAGUGGGGAAUCUUGCACAAUGGGCGAAAGCAUGAUGCAGCAACGCCGCGUGCGGGAAGAAGGCCCUAGGGUUGUAAACCGCUUUCAGCAGGGAAGAAACUGACGGUACCUGUAGAAGAAGGUGCGGCCAACUACGUG